rnacentral:rRNA from 1 species
UGGGGAAUUUUGGACAAUGGGCGAAAGCCUGAUCCAGCAAUGCCGCGUGUGUGAAGAAGGCCUUCGGGUUGUAAAGCACUUUUGUCCGGAAAGAAAUCCUUGGCUCUAAUACAGUCGGGGGAUGACGGUACCGGAAGAAUAAGCACCGGCUAACUACGUGCCAGCAGCCGCGGUAAUACGUAGGGUGCAAGCGUUAAUCGGAAUUACUGGGCGUAAAGCGUGCGCAGGCGGUUUGCUAAGACCGAUGUGAAAUCCCCGGGCUCAACCUGGGAACUGCAUUGGUGACUGGCAGGCUAGAGUAUGGCAGAGGGGGGUAGAAUUCCACGUGUAGCAGUGAAAUGCGUAGAGAUGUGGAGGAAUACCGAUGGCGAAGGCAGCCCCCUGGGCAAUACUGACGCUCAUGCACGAAAGCGUGGGGAGCAAACAGGAUUAGAUACCCUGGUAGUCCACGCCCUAAACGAUGUCAACUAGUUGUUGGGGAUCAUUUCCUUAGUAACGUAGCUAACGCGUGAAGUUGACCGCCUGGGGAGUACGGUCGCAAGAUUAAAACUUAAAUGAAUUGACGGGGUCAUAGCUG